GCAAGAUUAAAACUCAAAGGAAUUGACGGGGACCCGCACAAGCGGUGGAUGAUGUGGAUUAAUUCGAUGCAACGCGAAAAACCUUACCUACCCUUGACAUGGCUGGAAUCCCCGAGAGAUUGGGGAGUGCUCGAAAGAGAACCAGUACACAGGUGCUGCAUGGCUGUCGUCAGCUCGUGUCGUGAGAUGUUGGGUUAAGUCCCGCAACGAGCGCAACCCUUGUCAUUAGUUGCU
rnacentral:rRNA from 1 species